rnacentral:rRNA from 1 species
UAGGGAAUCUUCCACAAUGGGCGCAAACCUGAUGGAGCAACACCGCGUGAGUGAAGAAGGGUUUCGGCUCGUAAAGCUCUGUUGUUAAAGAAGAACACGUAUGAGAGUAACUGUUCAUGCGUUGACGGUAUUUAACCAGAAAGUCACGGCUAACUACGUGCCAG